rnacentral:rRNA from 1 species
GACGAACGCUGGCGGCGCGCCUAACACAUGCAAGUCGAACGGGGAUGCAAAGAAGCUUGCUUCAUUGCAUUCUAGUGGCGAACGGGUGAGUAACGCGUGAGCAACCUGCCCAUAAGUUGGGGAUAGCCCUGGGAAACCGGGAUUAAUACCGAAUGUGGUAGCAAUACUAAAGCAGUAAUGCGCUUAUGGAGGGGCUCGCGUCCUAUUAGUUAGUUGGUGAGGUAACGGCUCACCAAGGCGAUGACGGGUAGCCGGUCUGAGAGGAUGUCCGGCCACACUGGAACUGAGACACGGUCCAGACACCUACGGGUGGCAGCAGUCGAGAAUCAUUCACAAUGGGGGCAACCCUGAUGGUGCGACGCCGCGUGGGGGAAGAAGGUCUUCGGAUUGUAAACCCCUGUCAUGUGGGAGCAAGCAGCAAUGUUGAUAGUACCACAAGAGGAAGAGACGGCUAACUCUGUGCCAGCAGCCGCAGUAAUAC